AGUGAACGCUGGCGGCGUGCUUAACACAUGCAAGUCGAACGAGAACGGAUUAUAGCUUGCUAUAAUUGUCAGCUUAGUGGCGCACGGGUGCGUAACGCGUGGGAAUCUGCCCUUGGGUUCGGAAUAACAGUUAGAAAUGACUGCUAAUACCGGAUGAUGUCUUCGGACCAAAGAUUUAUCGCCCAAGGAUGAGCCCGCGUAGGAUUAGGUAGUUGGUGGGGUAAAAGGCCUACCAAGCCGACGAUCCUUAGCUGGUCUGAGAGGACGACCAGCCACACUGGAACUGAGACACGGUCCAGACUCCUACGGGAGGCAGCAGUGGGGAAUUUUGGACAAUGGGCGCAAGCCUGAUCCAGCAAUGCCGCGUGCAGGAAGAAGGCCUUCGGGUUGUAAACUGCUUUUGUACGGAACGAAACGGUCCUGGUUAAUACCCGGGGCUAAUGACGGUACCGUAAGAAUAAGCACCGGCUAACUACGUG
rnacentral:rRNA from 1 species